UUUCUCUCUCUCAAUAGCAAUGUCCUUCGUUGGCUACCGAUUAAAUUUCACUUUCUUUGUUGCCCAUUUUUCAAUUUGAAUUAAUCAAUUUCCAGUCAAAUGCAUAGGUAACAAUCACUAAGUCAUUAUAGAUUUGAAGCAAAGGAUCCACGGUUUUGUUUUUCUACCAUGUAAGCUUGAGGAAAGUGGGUUUUGUUAUCAUGGUUGGAGGCCCAACUAAAGAUACUAGAUUUUGGCCUCUUUCAUACAUGAUAAUAACGAAGAGAGAAGAAAAGAUGUUCGAAGAUUGAAGAACAGAAAACCCUUACAGAAAAGAAAACGAUCGACAAAAAGAAGAAAUGUGCAGAAAUUAGUCAAGAUACAUAAAAGCAGUAAAAUUGUAAUAUAUAUUAAAAAAAGAAUUUAAAUACAUUGCUAUAUUUGCAAAACAAAAAA